rnacentral:lncRNA from 1 species
CUAAAUUCUUUCACAAUGGUUCCCAUGACACUCAUUUGUCAUAUUCCAUUUUAAUGACUUGUUAUCACUGCUCCCACCCUUACCACCCUUGUGUCCUAACUGCUUAUCUAGAAUUGACUCUAUGCCCAUAGGGGACAGCCAUUAUAUUUUCUAUUGCUUAAGGGCCUUCUCCAGUGCUUUACAACCUCUCUGCCAAGCUAUCCCCGACCAGCCCCCUCCAGCUCUGCCUGAGGAACUCUCCACGCCAUAAUACAGAAAGCUGCAACCUACAGCUAGCCUGAUCUUGCCAUGGUGUGAAACUCAGUCCCUCUUCGAAGUACAGAAAUUCUCAUGGAAAUGGCUGGGCCAUUCCUUCUCUAUAAUUCCUUCCCUUAAAUGUCUUUAUAGGCCCCAGGAUGGCCAUUGUGAGCAGAGUCUCUGUAAAUCAGUCAGCCAGAGAUAUGCUGAAUGAAAGUUGAACACCAACCCAGCUCUGCAGUUAACUUAUGCUUCUGUUCUGCCCAGAAGCAAGAAGCAGUUUGCUUUUCUGGAUGGAGUCAGGGAGAAGCAGGAUGCAGCCAGGAAAGAGAGCAGCAGGUUGUUUUUAGAGGCAAGAAGUCUGGUUAAGAAAUAUACUGUCAUGUCUAAGUUGCUGCCAGUUGUAAGAUUUAGACUAACAAAGUUCUAGAAGGGUUCAAAACAUGGAACCAAAGUUUAAGAGGCCCUUGAAAACAUGUUUUUCAUUAUCACAUGUAAAAUUAAUAGAGAUGAGAUAUUGGCCACAAAAGAACAUCAUUUAUAGUUGCUACACUGAUGUGUCCCUUCUACAGGAAAGGGAGUCCAAGAAAGAGCAAGCUUCAGCUCUUGAACCUGAAGGCAGAGAAAAAUGGAAAGGUAAUACGGGGAGAGAUCUCUGAGAAGUUCUGUAUUAUGCCUAUCUGAGAAGGAAAAAUCUCUGUCUCUUGAACAGUCAAGGUAGCACUAAAUUCAUGUUCAUAUAUUGGGAAUAAAUGAAGGAGCGAGAAAACCA